rfam:Tupaia chinensis contig93743, whole genome shotgun sequence.
GGAUGUGCCGGCCCCGUGGCUUGUCCGAUUUGCACGGUGACUUGAUUACACGCUCGCAUUCAUGGUCACUUCCGAAGCGCUUUAGUGCCUUCCGUCCCUAAACCGCCAACAGCCAGAGCGGCUUCCCCCGCGGUUUGUCAAUGAUCCGCGAGGCCAAGAAGGGCCUUCGUCUUACCCGGGAUCUCU